GCGGGCGUAGCUUAAUGGUAGAGCCUCGGCUUCCCAAGCCGAUGACGCGGGUUCGAUUCCCGUCGCCCGCUCCA
rnacentral:tRNA from 2 species